rnacentral:rRNA from 1 species
CCUACGGGUGGCUGCAGUGAGGAAUAUUGGUCAAUGGGCGUAAGCCUGAACCAGCCAAGUCGCGUGAGGGAUGAAGGUUCUAUGGAUCGUAAACCUCUUUUAUAAGGGAAUAAAGUGUGGGACGUGUCCUGUUUUGUAUGUACCUUAUGAUUAAGGAUCGGCUAACCCCGUGCUAGCAGCCGCGGUAAUACGGUGGAUCCGAGGGUUAUCCGGGUUUAUUGGGUUUAAAGGGGGCGUAGGUGGCCUUUUAAGUCAGCGGGGAAAGUCUGUGGCUCAACCAUAGAAUUGCCGUUGAAACUGGGAGGCUUGAGUAUGUUAGAGGCAAGCGGAAUGCGUGGUGAAGCGGUGAAAUGCUUAGAUAUCACGCAGAACCCCGAUGGCGAAGGCAGCCUGCCAAGCCAUGACUGACGCUGAUGCACGAAAGCGUGGGGAUCAAACAGGAUUAGAUACCCUAGUAGUC